rnacentral:rRNA from 2 species
UCCUACGGGAGGCAGCAGUGGGGAAUAUUGGACAAUGGGGGCAACCCUGAUCCAGCCAUGCCGCGUGAGUGAUGAAGGCCUUAGGGUUGUAAAGCUCUUUCGCCCGCGAAGAUAAUGACGGUAGCGGGAGAAGAAGCCCCGGCUAACUUCGUGCCAGCAGCCGCGGUAAUACGAAGGGGGCUAGCGUUGUUCGGAAUCACUGGGCGUAAAGCGUACGUAGGCGGAUGCUUAAGGCAGAGGUGAAAGCCUGGAGCUCAACUCCAGAACUGCCUUUGAGACUGGGCGUAUCGAGUGCGGGAGAGGUGAGUGGAACUGCUAGUGUAGAGGUGAAAGUCGUAGAUAUUAGCAAGAACACCAGUGGCGAAGGCGGCUCACUGGCCCGGUACUGACGCUGAGGUACGAAAGCGUGGGGAGCAAACAGGAUUAGAUACCCGGGUAGUCAAA